rnacentral:misc_RNA from 1 species
CGUCACGAAAGUUGGUAACACCCGAAGCUCAUGGCCUAACCGGUUUGCCGGGGGGAGUGGUCGAAGGUGGGAUUGGCGAUUGGGACGAAGUCGUAACAAGGUAGCCGUACCGGAAGGUGCGGCUGGAUCACCUCCUUUCUAGGGAGCCCUGUUGGGGGAUUGCUGUGCUGUGCUGCCUGUGGGUGGUGUGGUGUGGUGGUUUCUUGUGCUCAUGUUUGGUCAUCAUGCGUUGUGUGUGGUGGGUGUGGGUGCGUUGUGGGGUUGGGUGUAGAUGAUGGACACGCUGUCGGGUUCACGGUCAAUACCUGUUGGCCGGUGGCCCCUUUUUGUGGGGGUGUGUGGCUUGCUGGCUGCCCGCGUGUGUGUGGUGGUUGGUGUGGUGGGUUGUUUGUGAUUUGUAUAGUGGUUGUGAGCAUCUUUUUUGUUCUGUGGUUUUGUUUAGUUGUGUGGGGCAUUCGGUGGAUGCCUUGGCAUCAAGAGCUGAUGAAGGACGUUGCGGCCUGCGAUAUGCCUCGGGGAGUUGGCGAGCGAACUGUGAUCCGAGGGUGUCCGAAUGGGGGAACCUAGCUGGGGUUGUGCCUGGUUACCAUCAUCUG